CAGUAGCCGCGGGAAUACGUAGGGUGCAAGCGUUAAUCGGAAUUACUGGGCGUAAAGCGUGCGCAGGCGGUUAUAUAAGACAGAUGUGAAAUCCCCGGGCUCAACCUGGGAACUGCAUUUGUGACUGUAUAGCUAGAGUACGGCAGAGGGGGAUGGAAUUCCGCGUGUAGCAGUGAAAUGCGUAGAUAUGCGGAGGAACACCGAUGGCGAAGGCAAUCCCCUGGGCCUGUACUGACGCUUAUGCACGAAAGCGUGGGGAGCAAACAGGAUUAGAUACCCCAGUAGUCCCUGUCUCUUAUAC
rnacentral:rRNA from 1 species